rnacentral:rRNA from 1 species
AGAGUUUGAUCCUGGCUCAGAACGAACGCUGGCGGCGUGGAUAAGACAUGCAAGUCGGACGAGACUUUCGGUUGUAGCAAUACGAUGGAAAGUUUAGUGGCGAACGGGUGCUUAACACGUGGGCAACCUGCCAUGAAGUGGGGGAUAGCUCGCCGAAAGGCGAAUUAAUACCGCAUGUGAUUAGAGAGGACAUCCUUUCGAAAUUAAAGUCGGGGCAACCUGACGCUUCUUGUGGGGCCCGCGGCCUAUCAGCUAGUUGGUGAGGUAACGGCUCACCAAGGCUUUGACGGGUAGCUGGUCUGAGAGGACGACCAGCCACACUGGGACUGAGACACGGCCCAGACACCUACGGGUGGCAGCAGUCGAGAAUUUUUGACAAUGGGGGAAACCCUGAUCGAGCGACGCCGCGUGGAGGAUGAAGGUCUUCGGAUUGUAAACUCCUGUCAUUUGGGAACAAGGUGCACACGUUAACUGCGUGCGUAUUGAUAGUACCAGAAGAGGAAGAGACGGCUAACUCUGUGCCAGCAGCCGCGGUAAUACAGAGGUCUCAAGCGUUGUUCGGAUUCAUUGGGCGUAAAGGGUGCGUAGGCGGCGCGGUAAGUCGGGUGUGAAAUCUCGGAGCUUAACUCCGAAACUGCAUUCGAUACUGCCGUGCUUGAGGACUGGAGAGGAGACUGGAAUUUACGGUGUAGCGGUGAAAUGCGUAGAUAUCGUAAGGAAGACCAGUGGCGAAGGCGGGUCUCUGGACAGUUCCUGACGCUGAGGCACGAAGGUCAGGGGAGCAAACGGGAUUAGAUACCCCAGUAGUCC